UAAGGAAUAUUGCACAAUGGGCGAAAGCCUGAUGCAGCAACGCCGCGUGCGCGAAGAAGGCCUUCGGGUCGUAAAGCGCUUUUCUGGGAGAAGAGGAAGGACAGUACCCCAGGAAUAAGUGUCGGCUAACUACGUGCCAGCAGCCGCGGUAAAACGUAGGACACGAGCGUUAUCCGGAUUUACUGGGCGUAAAGGGCAAGCAGGCGGCCUGUUAAGUCAGACGUGAAAGCUCCGGGCUAAACCGGGAGAGUGCGUUUGAGACUGGGAGGCUAGAGGGCAGCAGAGGAGCAUGGAAUUCCGGGUGGAGUGGUGAAAUGCGUAGAUAUCCGGAGGAACACCAGAGGCGAAGGCGGUGCUCUGGGCUGAACCUGACGCUGAGAUGCGAAAGCGUGGGGAGCGAACGGG
rnacentral:rRNA from 1 species